AACGAACGCUGGCGGCGCGCCUAAUACAUGCAAGUCGAGCGAGAAGACGUAGCAAUACGUUUGUAAAGCGGCGAACGGGUGAGGAAUACAUGGGUAACCUACCCUAGAGUGGGAAUAACUAGCCGAAAGGUUAGCUAAUACCGCGUACGCUCCUUGGACUUCGGUUCAGGGAGGAAAGCGAUGCCGAGGGUAUCGGCGCUCUUGGAUGGGCUCAUGUCCUAUCAGCUUGUUGGUGAGGUAACGGCUCACCAAGGCUUCGACGGGUAGCUGGUCUGAGAGGACGAUCAGCCACACUGGCACUGCGAC
rnacentral:rRNA from 1 species